GAUGAACGCUGGCGGCGUGCCUAAUACAUGCAAGUCGAGCGAAUGGAUUAAGAGCUUGCUCUUAUGAAGUUAGCGGCGGACGGGUGAGUAACACGUGGGUAACCUGCCCAUAAGACUGGGAUAACUCCGGGAAACCGGGGCUAAUACCGGAUAACAUUUUGAACCGCAUGGUUCGAAAUUGAAAGGCGGCUUCGGCUGUCACUUAUGGAUGGACCCGCGUCGCAUUAGCUAGUUGGUGAGGUAACGGCUCACCAAGGCAACGAUGCGAAGCCGACUUGAGAGGGUGGUCGGCCACACUGGGACUGAGACACGGCCCAGACUCCUACGGGAGGCAGCAGUAGGGAAUCUUCCGCAAUGGACGAAAGUCUGACGGAGCAACGCCGCGUGAGUGAUGAAGGCUUUCGGGUCGUAAAACUCUGUUGUUAGGGAAGAACAAGUGCUAGUUGAAUAAGCUGGCACCUUGACGGUACCUAACCAGAAAGCCACGGCUAACUACGUGCCAGCAGCCGCCGUAA
rnacentral:rRNA from 1 species